UAUUGCAAUGAAUUAAACAUUUAAUCCCAGCUCUAUGAGACCUUGUUUUAAGGUUUGGGAUUAGACUUCGUUUAAAAAAAAAGGACCUUAAUU